AUUUAAAAUCUGGCAGUCUCUGGCUGUCCGAGUUGUAAACUAGAGAAGUGCUAUCCGUGCUGGACCAUGUAUAAGUCUCCUGGAACGGAGCGUCAUAGAGGGUGAGAAUCCCGUCUUUGACAUGGACUACCAGUGCAUUGUGAUGUGCUCUCAAAGAGUCGAGUUGUUUGGGAAUGCAGCUCAAAAUGGGUGGUAAAUUCCAUCUAAAGCUAAAUAUUGGCGAGAGACCGAUAGCGAACAAGUACCGUGAGGGAAAGAUGAAAAGAACUUUGGAAAGAGAGUUAAACAGUACGUGAAAUUGUUGAAAGGGAAACGCUUGAAGUCAGUCACAUUGGCUGGAGAUCAACCUUGCUUUUGUAAGGUGUACUCUCUGGUUGAUGGGUCAGCAUCAAUUUUGACCAUUGGAAAAAGGUCAGAGGAAUGUGGCAUCCUUGGAUGUGUUAUAGCCUUUGAUUGUAUACAGUGGUUGGGAUUGAGGAACUCAGCACGCCGCAAGGCCGGGUUUCGACCACGUUCGUGCUUAGGAUGCUGGCAUAAUGGCUUUAAUCGACCCGUCUUGAAACACGGACCAAGGAGUCUAACAUGCCUGCGAGUGUUUGGGUGGAAAACCCAUACGCGUAAUGAAAGUGAAAGUUGAGAUCUCUGUCAUGGAGAGCACCGACGCCCGGACCAGACCUUUUGUGACGGAUCCGCGGUAGAGCAUGUAUGUUGGGACCCGAAAGAUGGUGAACUAUGCCUGAAUAGGGCGAAGCCAGAGGAAACUCUGGUGGAGGCUC
rnacentral:rRNA from 1 species